rnacentral:rRNA from 1 species
UGGGGAAUAUUGCACAAUGGGCGCAAGCCUGAUGCAGCCAUGCCGCGUGUAUGAAGAAGGCCUUCGGGUUGUAAAGUACUUUCAGCGGGGAGGAAGGUGUUGAGGUUAAUAACCUCAGCAAUUGACGUUACCCGCAGAAGAAGCACCGGCUAACUCCGUGCCAGCAGCCGCGGCAAUACGGAGGGUGCAAGCGUUAAUCGGAAUUACUGGGCGUAAAGCGCACGCAGGCGGUCUGUCAAGUCGGAUGUGAAAUCCCCGGGCUCAACCUGGGAACUGCAUUCGAAACUGGCAGGCUAGAGUCUUGUAGAGGGGGGUAGAAUUCCAGGCGUAGCGGUGAAAUGCGUAGAGAUCUGGAGGAAUACCGGUGGCGAAGGCGGCCCCCUGGACAAAGACUGACGCUCAGGUGCGAAAGCGUGGGGAGCAAACA